UGUGGAUAUUGGUGGGCGUCCCAUC
rnacentral:misc_RNA from 1 species